CGAUGGUGGCAAGGAAAAACUCCCUCAGAUGACAUGAGGAAGAAACCUCGAGAGGAACCAGACUCAAAAGGGAACCCAUCCUCAUUUGGGCAACAACCGACAGCAUGACUAUAAUAUUAACAGUUUUAACAAGAAGUCAGUUUUGUUGAUGUUAUAAACUCUUCAUUGAUGGAAACUUGAGUGCAAAACUGUUCAUGACAACUGCAGUCCUAAAGUUAGCAAGUCGACUGUAGUCUUCAGCCAUAAAAGCAUUACUGUAAGAGUCCAGAGUGUCCUCCAAGUGUGACUUUUAACUGUCCUCAUGGGGCCAUCCUCCACAGGAGUGAUGCUAUGAGACUCCAACCAGACACAGAGCACCAGGAUGGAUCAGGCAGGUCUGAGGAGCAGAAGAGGUUCAGCAUCUCAAUCCCAGGACCAACAUGUAACUCAGAGGGACAGAUUUGGGGGGAGGGGGAGGGGGAGAGAGGGAGAGAAAACACAGGUUGUUAGGUAUGCCCAAUGUCACCUGAAUAAGUAGGAACAGUAUACAUAUUGCACUGAGUACAAGCAGGGACUCCGGCAACUAACUAUGACAGCAUAACUAAAAGGGGAGAGCCAGAAGGUAACACAGGCAUAAGGGGCCCCGGGACAUAAAACAGCAGCCACUACACCGUCAACAAACUCGAGUGAGCAAGCGAGUGGGGACUGACAGCAUCCAUACAUCCCAGUUUACCAAAACACUCUGUCUGAGGAUCCUCCAGAUCUACUCCUUUACCUCAUAAACACCAUUAACACAAGGCUUGACUAAACAGAUAUGUUUUCAGCCCAGACUUAAACACUGAGAAGAGUGGUCUUGUCACCACUCUUUUCUCUUCUAAACCUAAUUUACUUCUCUAAUAACUGACUCUGUACUCUCUUCUUGCAUUCAACACAAACUCAUAUGUCUCAUGCAGCCUUUACCCUUAUUCCACCACAGUGUUUCUCAGUCUCCGCUAACUAUCUAUUUCUUCUUCACAUGCAACAUACACUCUCCACAUUAUUGUUCCUCUAACCAUCUGCCUACCAGAAUGUUUUAUCUUUCAUUCCUUUUUUCUCUGUUUCAGUGUGAUUAUAUUCUGAGUGGACUUUUAAAAAAAUAUCACAUGGCAAACAUGACUUCAAGGUUGCGGUGAUCACUUCAGAUAAGGGCUGAAUGAUAUAAUGAAUUUUAAUAGAAAUUGUAAUGUUUUAACAACUGCUUCAGUAAAUUCUGUUUCAUAUUUUUUUCAGUCAAACCUGUUAUAAUAUUUAAAGUAAAAGGGCCAAAAUGUGCACUGAGGAGAGUGACUGCUGUAUCUUGUCAGCUGUUUAAAUACAUUUUCUCCUUAACAGAGUGGAAUUCCCAUUGAGAAAACCAGAGAAGUUGUCAUCCGAUGUCUCAUUGAUCACCUGGGUGAAGAUGUGGGUGCCUUAAUCAAGGAGUUUGAGAAUGUUGAUGAUUCACCCAUCAGUGUGGAAGAAGAGCUUGUGGCGAAAUACAUUCUGUCCCUGAGACAUAAGGUUUUUCCCUGUGACUGUCACCUUUAAAAGCACACUAACAUGACACAGCACUCACCUCAUUAACAUUUGCUUCAUCACUCAACACACAACACCUGCGGACGCUGAUUGGGGGAGUGGCCACACGAAGCGCUUGCUUUAAAAUGGCACUAUGCUGCAUACGUAGCGAGGAGGAAGUGUAGCGCAGCAGAGCUCCGUUUGGUUCCUGUGCGAGCAAGCGUGAAGGUGCGAUUCUGGAGUGGAUGCUAAACCAAGUGGAAGAAUUGUACAUUGUUGCCGACGACGGAAUCCGCGGCGGAGAUUUGCAAGCUGACCCAAGCAAGAUUUCCGGGAUGGAGGUACAUCGCAAGCCACAGGUCAGAGGAGCACAUAGCUACUUCAAGCCCGAUGCGGGAAGCGGAUGGCUAAGGACUGUUGAAGCUUCAGAUCCAGGACAGUCCAGUUUACACAGCCAGCUCCAGAACUUUACCCAUCUCUCCUCAGAUACCAUCAGAGGUGGACAAAGUACCCAACUUCAUUACUUAAGUCAAAAUACAGAUCCCACAG